GAUUCACUGACAGUGACAAUGCUUUGCCCUAACUGCAGUCGCAUGAUUCCUACAGAAGGGUACUUUUGUUGUUACUGUGGUUUUGAAAAGCCAAUUUCCAACAGCCCCGAGUUGAAACGCAGAAAGAUACAGCAUGUACUCAUUUCCAGCAGUGACGAUGAAAAAGACGGGGGUAAAGAUUAUCCUGACAUCGAAUGUUUUGACAUUGAUCUUGCUGAUAAGCCAAUUUCCAACAGCCCUGAGAUUGAACGACGAAGAAUACGCCGUGUGAUAACUGAUAGUAGGGAUGAUGAUGAAGAAG